rnacentral:tRNA from 1 species
GGGGUUGUGGCUCAGGGGUAGAGCGCUUGCCUAGCAUGCAUGAGGCACUGGGUUCAAUCCUCAGCACCA